GCUGGGGAGGGUGUGGGGGGCUGUGCGUGGGGCUGCCCUCACCGGAAGCUGCACGCUCGGGGAAGCGCGGAGGCGGGGGUGCUGCGCGCGCUGGGGAGCACGUGGGGGGACACGCAGGGACUGCCCGCGCGAAUGGCUUCCAACGCAUGCGCCCCACCCUACAUUUCACAGUCGCCAUGACGACCAGGAGGUCCGCUAGUCAACGGCUCGUCAACGGCUGCGGGGACAAGUCCGUUGAGGCUGCCAGGCGAGUCAGGCCUUUCUGGACCUCGCCUGACUCGGCUGGGCUGUGCCUGAAAUUGACCCAGCUCCACUAGGAAUUAUGAAGAAACAAGGAGUAAGCCCAAAGCCGCUGCAAUCUUCCCGCCCCAGCCCGUCUAAGCGGCCCUGCGGGGCCUCCCCCGCCCGGGAGCGGGAGGUGGAAAAGUCGGCCCUAGGCGGCGGGAAACUGCCGGGGGGCGCCAGGAGGUCCUCCCCGGGGAGGAUCCCAAAUCUGAAAAAGCGAAAAGGCUUGGAGCUAAAGGUGGUGGCCAAGGCCCUUCUCGGCCCCUUCCAGUUCGUCUGUAAUUCCCUGGCGCAGCUCCGGGAAGAGGUGCACGAACUGCAGGCGCGGUGGUUCCCCAGCAGAACCACUCUGCAUCGCCGUCUUUGUGGCAAUUCUACAUUGGUAA
rnacentral:lncRNA from 1 species